ACGUAGGUCCCGAGCGUUGUCCGGAUUUAUUGGGCGUAAAGCGAGCGCAGGCGGUUUGAUAAGUCUGAAGUUAAAGGCUGUGGCUCAACCAUAGUUCGCUUUGGAAACUGUCAAACUUGAGUGCAGAAGGGGAGAGUGGAAUUCCAUGUGUAGCGGUGAAAUGCGUAGAUAUAUGGAGGAACACCGGUGGCGAAAGCGGCUCUCUAGUCUGUAACUGACGCUGAGGCUCGAAAGCGUGGGGAGCGAACAG
rnacentral:rRNA from 1 species